AGGUCCCCCGGCCCGGGCUGCGCUCUCCCUCGCGCUCCGGCGGGCGGCAGCCUCUCGCCGGCUCAACUUUGGGGAGUUUGAGGCGACGGCGGCGAGGCGGGCGCGGCUCUCCCGGCUCUGCGCGCACUGAAGGUAAUGAGAGGCCCUCUGUUCCAGAAAGUGCGCAAGGAGAAGUCAGGAAGGCGAAGACUACCUCCCACAGACAUAGGAAUGCAUAAAACAAAAGAAUAAAACCCACCCAGAGUCACCCAGUGUCAGACCU